UACGCUGGCGGCACGCCUAACACAUGCAAGUCGAACGCAGUAGCAAUACUGAGUGGCAAACGGGUGAGUAUAAUGUGGGAAUCUGCCUUUUGGUUUGGAAUAACACGGGGAAACUUGUGCUAAUACCGAAUAAGCCCUUACGGGGAAAGUUUUAAUGCCGAAAGAUGAGCCUGCACUUGAUUAGCUAGUUGGUAAGGUAAAGGCUUACCAAGGCUACGAUCAAUAGCUGUUCUUAGAGGAAGACCAGCCACAUUGGGACUGAGACACGGCCCAGACUCCUACGGGAGGCAGCAGUGGGGAAUCUUGCACAAUGGGGGAAACCCUGAUGCAGCGAUGCCGCGUGAGUGAAGAAGGCCUUUGGGUUGUAAAACUCUUUCGUCGGGGAAGAAAAUGACUGUACCCGAAUAAGAAGGUCCGGCUAACUU
rnacentral:rRNA from 1 species